CCUGGAAAGUACGUACGCAAAGUAUGAAACUUAAAGGAAUUGGCGGGGGAGCNCCCCAAGGGGUGAAGCCUGCGGUUCAAUUGGAGUCAACGCCAGAAAUCUUACCCNGAGAGACAGCAGAAUGAGGGUCAAGCUGAAGACUUUACCAGACAAGCUGAGAGGUGGUGCAUGGCCGUCGCCAGCUCGUGCCGUGAGAUGUCCUGUUAAGUCAGGUAACGAGCGAGAUCCCUGCCGCUAGUUGCUAUCAUUAUUCUCAGGAAUAGUGGAGCGAAUUAGCGGGACUGCCGUUGUUAAAACGGAGGAAGGAAGGGGCUACGGCAGGUCAGUAUGCCCCGAAACUCUGGGGCCACACGCGGGCUGCAAUGGUAGUGACAAUGAGUUCCAAACUCGAAAGAGAGUGGCAAUCUCUAAACGCUACCACAGUUAUGACUGAGGGCUGUAACUCGCCCUCACGAAUAUGGAAUCCCUAGUAACCGCGUGUCAUUACCGCGCGGUGAAUACGUCCCUGCUCCUUGCACACACCGCCCGUCGUUUCAUCGAAGUUUGCUUUUAGCGAGGUGAUGUUUAAUUGGCAUUAUCGAACUUGAGGUAAGCGACGAGGGAAAAGUCGUAACAAGGUA
rnacentral:rRNA from 1 species